rnacentral:rRNA from 1 species
GACGAACGCUGGCGGCGUGCCUAAUACAUGCAAGUCGAACGCAGUGGGGACGGGUGAGUAACACGUUGGUAACCUCCCAUCAGAGGGGAUAACACUUGGAAACAGGUGCUAAACCGAUACUGAUGGAUGGACCCGGCGUGCAUUAGCCAGUUGGGGAGGUAACGGCUCACAAAGGCCACGAUGCAUCGCCGCCCGGGGAGGGUGAUCGGCCACCCUGGGACUGAGACACGGCCCAGACUCCUACGGGAGGCAGCAGUAGGGAAUCGUCGGCAAUGGACGAAAGUCUGACCGAGCAACGCCGCGUGAGUGAAGAAGGUUUUCGGAUCGUAAAGCUCUGUUGUUAGAGAAGCGGUAUCUAACCAGAAAGCCACGGCUAACUACGUGCCAGCCGCCGCGGUAAUUC